CACAAUCCCUAGAGCAGUGCCCUAGAGAUUAUGUAAGGUCUAAAAUAAAUAUAAACUCAAAUAUUUUAAAUAACCAGAUAAAUAUCAAACAUGUCAAUCGAGUCGCACUUUCAAAUCAAAUAGUACAAUCAUUCAAAUGUUCGUUGGUAUCAGAAAAUUUAAACUAGCUAAAUUACUAAAUGCUCCAGUACUUGACUUCUCUCACCC
rnacentral:lncRNA from 1 species